GGCUGCUUCUUCCUGCCAUCACACUGGUGAGCCCAGCGCAGCUGCUCCCUUUGCAGUGGUUCUUAAGCCCCUCCUGCACUGGAGCACUGGACAUUCUUGUCUGGACUCUUCAGGACAACAAAAUGGCAAAAAAGAGGAGCCCCAAGUGUGAAACUAGCCUUGAGACUUCUCUAAUUCCUGCAUGAGAAAAUGGCAGGGAUCUUGCAAAGCAGUUAUUCAUCUCUAACAGCACUCCUAUAUCUAAGGCAGCAAGCAGAGCCUGGGAAGGGCUUUUUGUCACACUGACACAAGUCACAAGAAAUCUGGGCAGUGUGCAAACAACAUCAAGAGCAGGGCAGGACCUUCUCCCAGGCCCAGCCUUCACUGCCACAUGGAGGAAGAGGCACAGACAUCUGGUGACCCAAGCAAUUGCUUAAUGUGGUUCCUCAGAGAAGUGUCAGCAAGUGUAUGGACAGGAACUGGCAAACAGUUCCACCAGACCAUGCUGGCCUGGCACAUCAUGGAAAAAGUGAAGAAUGAUUCAAGCUGGCUGUGUUUUCUGUACCUGUGGGCCUCUUGGCAGAUGCACAGGACUAACCAUAGCUACCAAAAAGAACAUCAUUUUGCUAUGGAUGCUGCAAAUCACACAUGUGACUCCUCUCUCCUUACCCUGUUAUGGAGAGACAACAAUUUUCUGUGUUUCAACAAGAAUUUGAUUUCACAAUCAUACAAAAAUAUAUUUGCCAGCAGAUUUUUGAUUGGAAAAAUACAGCACUUUAAUUACAUAGAUACCAUAACUCUC